GGCGCGAAGCGGAGGGGACCGAGUGCGGUGGUGACGGAAGCGCCGGCGGCGUAUUGCAGUGUCACGUGACCGUGAGCAGGCCGGCCGGCGGGCCCGCGGGAGACGGCACUGUCCGGCCGACGGCGAACGUCACGGUCCGGCCAGCGCUCGCGGACGACGGUGGGGAGACCGCUGACGCUUGUGGGCCGCAGCGCUGUGAACGGCUCGCCCGGGCAAGAUGCUGGCCUGCUUUGGGAAGAGCAAGAAGCAGAAGAAGUACAAGAGCCUGCCGAAGCAGGACCGCUGGAUCGAGGAGCAGACGCUUCUCUUCAGUGUCGCCGACCCGAAAAAUGCCAAGCCGGUGGCGAUCAAGGGCGGCGGGCCGGCGGCGUCGGCGGGCC